rnacentral:tRNA from 1 species
UCAUUUUGAGAUACAACAACUACCGUAAAAUACGAGCUUCUAUGGCCAAGUUGGUAAGGCGCCACACUAGUAA